AACGGCCGCGGUAUCCUAACCGUGCAAAGGUAGCAUAAUCACUUGCCUAUUAAUUGUAGGCUAGAAUGAAUGGGUUAACGAAAUAAAGACUGUCUCAAUUAAUCACCUAAAAAUUACUAUCUACCUGAAGAAGAGUAGAUAAUCUCGAAGGACAAGAAGACCCUAUAGAGCUUAAUUUUAAUUAUAGAACUACACUAUAAAAAUAUUCGGUUGGGGCGACCCAGGGCUAAUCAAUCACCCACUACAUAAAAGAUAAAUUAAUCAAGUAAUUGACCCCUAAAAGAUCAUAAGAACAAGCUACCUUAGGGAUAACAGGCUAAUCCCACUCAAGAGUCCUUAUCAACAGUGGGGUUUGGCACCUCGAUGUUGGCUUAGG
rnacentral:rRNA from 1 species